rnacentral:rRNA from 1 species
AUUGAACGCUGGCGGCAUGCCUUACACAUGCAAGUCGAACGCGAAAGGGGGGCAACUCCUGAGUAGAGUGGCGCACGGGUGAGUAAUGCAUCGGAACGUGUCCUGUAGCGGGGGAUAACCUAGCGAAAGCUAGGCUAAUACCGCAUACGUCCUACGGGAGAAAGUGGGGGAUCGUAAGACCUCACACUAUAGGAGCGGCCGAUGCCGGAUUAGCUAGUUGGUGGGGUAAAAGCCUACCAAGGCGACGAUCCGUAGCUGGUCUGAGAGGAUGAUCAGCCACACUGGGACUGAGACACGGCCCAGACUCCUACGGGAGGCAGCAGUGGGGAAUUUUGGACAAUGGGGGAAACCCUGAUCCAGCCAUGCCGCGUGAGUGAAGAAGGCCUCCGGGUUGUAAAGCUCUUUCGGCCGGGACGAAAUCGCACGCGUGAAUAUCGCGUGUGGAUGACGGUACCGGAAGAAGAAGGACCGGCUAACUACGUGCCAGCCGCCGCGGUAA